CAACAGGAUAUUGGAGCAGCUGUUGAAUGUUGAGCUGAAAUGGGAAAUCCCUCAAAGAGGAGAGAUAUGGUGAGAUCAUUUGUGAAGCAGUCCCAUUUGGCUGGGAGCUAGGAAGAAAUCAAGAUGGCAGCUAAACCACGGGGAACAGAGCAACCAGAAGCUAAAGAAGUGUUAUUACAUAUAAGGCCAUGCUGCUUCUUGUGGGAACUUGUGAAGAAGGAAAACAUCAACACGUGUAAGAAGUGUUGGGAUACGCAAGCUGGCACUGAAGACUGGAGGCAGGCCACAGUAAGCUGCUCCGUAAAGCCCUGGCCCAUGCUUUGCACUUCUAGAUUCUGGGAGACUCCGGCUCAACCUCACAGUCCAUGUGGGAGAAGAAGAACAAACUCAAUAAAUAGAGAAGAAGA